GAUGAACGCUGGCGGCGUGCUUAACACAUGCAAGUCGAACGGAAAGGCCACAGCUUGCUGUGGUACUCGAGUGGCGAACGGGUGAGUAACACGUGGGUGAUCUGCCCUGUACUUCGGGAUAAGCUUGGGAAACUGGGUCUAAUACCGGAUAGGAAUCACAUGUGGGUGUGUGGUUGGAAAGCUUUUGCGGUAUGGGAUGAGCUCGCGGCCUAUCAGCUUGUUGGUGGGGUAAUGGCCUACCAAGGCGUCGACGGGUAGCCGGCCUGAGAGGGUGUACGGCCACAUUGGGACUGAGAUACGGCCCAGACUCCUACGGGAGGCAGCAGUGGGGAAUAUUGCACAAUGGGCGCAAGCCUGAUGCAGCGACGCCGCGUGGGGGAUGACGGCCUUCGGGUUGUAAACUCCUUUCGUCAGGGACGAAGCGAAAGUGACGGUACCCGGAUAAGAAGCACCGGCUAACUACGUG
rnacentral:rRNA from 1 species